UAUAAAAAUGCAGAUUUUUUUUUUCACUCAUUCACAGAUUGAUCCGAAGAGACUGUUCUCUGAGAUCUGUUUUAAAAGUAUAGUUAACCCAAAAAUUAAAAUUUAGUCAUAAUUUUUCUCAACCUAAUAUUGUUGCAAACCCAUAUGACUUUCUUUUUUACCUUGGAUUGAUGAUACAAUUUAAAUUUUAGGUGAGCUAUCCCUUUAAUUCAAAGUUUCAAUCCUGUUCAAACAAAUCUAAGUCUCUAGACCAAUCAGAUAUCACGGUGAGGCUGCCAAUCAUGGUUUAGUUGGCAUCUUCAUAGCCUUCAUAUCAUUUGUGAGAGACUCUAUAUGGACACUGAGGGAAAACAUACAGCUAGGGUUUGAGAUGCUCAGACUUCGGGUGCCUUUGCUUUGGGGAUAUUUGUAUCCCUUACCUGCAGUGUACAUAAAGAUUCUCCAGUCUUCUCUGUAGGUUCUUUGGGACCUAAUAAUAUGCUCCAGUGUUUACGUGCAUGCUGGCUGAAUGUGAACUCACUGGGGUUGACUAUUUUUGAAUCUUGUAUAAAAAUUGGCCACAAAACACAGCUCUACUUCUCAUUUUUAUAUAUUUUUAUUUUUUAUUUAUAAUAUAAAACAAUAAAAAAAAGAAAAAUACAAGUUUAAAAGGCAUGUAGUAGCAUUGCUAUUGGCACAGAUGUAAACAUUGUUUUCAUGCUUGCAUUAUCAUAUACAGUUCAUACUAAUAUCUCAAUGUUCAGAUUUAUAGUGCUUUGCAAUUUUUGGGAAACUUGCUUUAUCCAGGGACAUGGCAUCUUCUAGCAAAGCCAAAUAGGUCUAUGGAGCCCAUUAGUAGACAUGUAAGGAAUUUAUUUUCUGAAACACUUUUGAAUUCCCUCGCAGUAGUUUGCAUUCCCUCAGAUAAAGUUUUGUGUUCCCUCGCAGUAGUUUGCGUUCUCUCAUAAAAGGGUUUGCGUUCCCUCGCAGUAGUUUGCGUUCUCUCAUAAAAGGGUUUGCGUUCCCUCGCAGUAGUUUGCGUUCGCAUAAAAGGUUUUGUGUUCCCUCGCUGUAGUUUGCGUUCGCAUAAAAGGUUUUGCGUUCCCUCGCAGUAGUUUGCGUUCUCUCAUAAAAGGUUUUGCUCCCUCGCAUUAGUUUGCGUUCCCUCGCAGUAGUUUGCGUUCUCUCAUAAAAGGGUUUGCGUUCCCUCGCAGUAGUUUGCGUUCUCAUAAAAGGGUUUGCGUUCCCUCGCAGUAGUUUGCGUUCUCAUAAAAGGGUUUGCGUUCCCUCGCAGUAGUUUGCGUUCUCUCAUAAAAGGGUUUGCGUUCCCUCGCAGUAGUUUGCGUUCUCUCAUAAAAGGGUUUGCGUUCCCUCGCAGUAGUUUGCGUUCUCAUAAAAGGGUUUGCGUUCCCUCGCAGUAGUUUGCGUUCCCUCGCAGUAGUUUGCGUUCUCUCAUAAAAGGGUUUGCGUUCCCUCGCAGUAGUUUGCGUUCUC